rnacentral:rRNA from 1 species
CCGCUUUCGGGCGGGGAUUAGUGGCGAACGGGUGAGAUAACACGUGGGCAAUCUGCCCUGCACUCUGGGACAAGCCCUGGAAACGGGGUCUAAUACCGGAUAUGACCGUCUGCCGCAUGGUGGAUGGUGUAAAGCUCCGGCGGUGCAGGAUGAGCCCGCGGCCUAUCANCUUGUUGGUGAGGUAGUGGCUCACCAAGGCGACGACGGGUAGCCGGCCUGAGAGGGCGACCGGCCACACUGGGACUGAGACACGGCCCAGACUCCUACGGGAGGCAGCAGUGGGGAAUAUUGCACAAUGGGCGAAAGCCUGAUGCAGCGACGCCGCGUGAGGGAUGACGGCCUUCGGGUUGUAAACCUCUUUCAGCAGGGAAGAAGCGAAAGUGACGGUACCUGCAGAAGAAGCGCCGGCUAACUACGUGCCAGCAGCCGCGGUAAUACGUAGGGCGCAAGCGUUGUCCGGAAUUAUUGGGCGUAAAGAGCUCGUAGGCGGCUUGUCACGUCGGUUGUGAAAGCCCGGGGCUUAACCCCGGGUCUGCAGUCGAUACGGGCAGGCUAGAGUUCGGUAGGGGAGAUCGGAAUUCCUGGUGUAGCGGUGAAAUGCGCAGAUAUCAGGAGGAACACCGGUGGCGAAGGCGGAUCUCUGGGCCGAUACUGACGCUGAGGAGCGAAAGCGUGGGGAGCGAACAGGAUUAGAUACCCUGGUAGUCCACGCCGUAAACGGUGGGCACUAGGUGUGGGCAACAUUCCACGUUGUCCGUGCCGCAGCUAACGCAUUAAGUGCCCCGCCUGGGGAGUACGGCCGCAAGGCUAAAACUCAAAGGA